GGGCCUUUACGAUGUCGAUUUGGAGGCUGUGUCCUUGAGGCGUGGCUUCCGGAGCUAACGCGUUAAAUCGACCGCCUGGGGAGUACGGCCGCAAGGUUAAAACUCAAAUGAAUUGACGGGGGCCCGCACAAGCGGUGGAGCAUGUGGUUUAAUUCGAUGCAACGCGAAGAACCUUACCUGGCCUUGACAUGUCUGGAAUCCUGCAGAGAUGCUUUGGUGCCUUCGGGAAUCAUAACACAGGUGCUGCAUGGCUGUCGUCAGCUCGUGUCGUGAAAUGUUGGGUUAAGUCCCGCAACGAGCGCAACCCCUGUCCUUUGUUGCCAGCACGUAAUGGUGGGAACUCAAGGAAAACGGCCGGUGAUAAACGGGAGAAAGGGGGGAAUAACUUCAAGUCUUCUGGGCCCUUACAGCAAGGGUUACCCACUUGCUACAAGGGCCCGAACAGAAGGCUGCAACCUACCAAAAGUGAGCGAAUCCCAAAAAUGCCGUCUAAUUCCGGAUGGAAUUCUGCACUUCACCUCCUUGAAGUCGAAUCGGCUAGUAAUCUCAAAUCGAAUGGUUGCGUUGAUUACUUCCCCGGCCCUUGUACACACCGCCCGUCACACAAUGGAAUGGGGUGCCACAGAAGUAAGAUACUUAACCCUUCGGAAGGGCGUUUACAACGUUGUGAUUCUUGACGGGGUUGAAUUCUUAAAGGGUUAACAAUA
rnacentral:rRNA from 1 species